UAGGGAAUUUUCCGCAAUGGGCGAAAGCCUGACGGAGCAAUACCGCGUGAGGGAUGACUGCCUAUGGGUUGUAAACCUCUUUUUUCAGGGAGGAAUAAAUGACGUGUACCUGAAGAAUAAGCAUCGGCUAACUCCGUGCCAGCAGCCGCGGUAAGACGGAGGAUGCAAGUGUUAUCCGGAAUCACUGGGCGUAAAGCGUCUGUAGGUUGUCAAAUAAGUCAACUGUUAAAUCUUGGGGCUCAACCUCAAAAUCGCAGUCGAAACUAUUAGACUAGAGUAUAGUAGAGGUAAAGGGAAUUUCCAGUGGAGCGGUGAAAUGCGUAGAGAUUGGAAAGAACACCGAUGGCGAAGGCACUUUACUGGGCUAUUACUGACACUCAGAGACGAAAGCUAGGGUAGCAAAUGGGAUUAGAUACCCCAGUAGUCCUACCCGUAAACAAUGGAUACUAGGUGUUGAACAGAUCGAUCCUG
rnacentral:rRNA from 1 species